GUGGUUCUUCAUUAACAUCACAGCAGGCUUUAAUUCCAGCAGAAGACUGAUCACCCUUCAGCUGCCCGACAUCCAGCCUGAAGAAUAUGUUUGGAAUUAAGCAGGGGUCUUAGUUGAAAAGAACAUCAGAUCCAGGAACCCCCUCUUGAGGUCUGCAUCAGGACCACUUUCCUGUAACAUCUUUCUGGCAACCAUGAAGGAUGAUACUGAAGAGACCCCUAAUCCCAACUAAAAAUCAUCUGCUCGCACCAAUUUUGGCUGACUUUGCGUUUCUGAUAACUUUGGAAAUUGUGACAUUAGAAUAGAAGAAACAACUUUCAGAACUCUCAUGGAGAACUGAAAUGUUCAUGAAUAUCAAACAGAAGAGAAAUUAACUGCAUGGAGUAAACUAAAAGAAGUCUAAAGUAAUCUUUUUAACUUUUUGCUUAAAACGUUGCUGAUGCCUUGUUUUGUUUUUCAAAGUCAAGAAAACAAAUUUUAAGCUAUUUAUGGCUUUUAUCAAUUAGGUAAAGUAUACUCCUAUGAACC